CCCUUUCAAUAGUCCCUCCCUCUCUCGCGUCUCUGAGCAUGCUCCGGGUUUCCUCCUCUACGAGAACCACUCUCGUAGAUUAGGGUUUCUCUUCUUUUCUAUUUCCUAAAUCUUCUGGUAUCCAUUUCUUUUUAUGGAGAUCGCGCUGCAGGGUUCUCGCGAUCAUUGCAUGCUCUUCGGGAAUUAGGGUUUGGGUUCCGGGAUCUCUCCGUGGGGGCAUGGAGAUGGAGAGCUCCCGCAGAUCCGCCAUGGACCGCUCCCGAGAGCCGGGCUUGAAGAGACCUCGAUUGGUGGAGGACGACCGCGGCGUCUCCGCCAGCCGAGACCGUCCAUUUCCGCCGCCGAGGGCCGGCAGCCAGCCGCUGGGCCCGAGGCUGAGGGCCGGCGGCGAGAGGGAGAGGGAGAGGGUGGAAAGAGAGGACGCGCUGUGGGGAGAAUCUUAUCAGCAGCAGCAAGAGCUCGUGGCGCAGUACAAGACGGCGCUGGCCGAACUGACGUUCAAUUCAAAGCCUAUCAUCACAAAUCUAACCAUCAUCGCCGGAGAGAAUCUCCAUGCUGCUAAGGAAAUCACCUCCACCAUCUGCGCCAAUGUUCUCGAGGUUCCCAGUGAACAGAAGUUGCCAUCCCUUUAUCUUCUUGAUAGUAUCGUGAAGAAUAUUGGAAGAGAGUACAUUAAAUAUUUUGCUGCAAGGUUACCUGAGGUAUUUUGCAGGGCUUAUAAACAGGUUGAUUCUUAUGUACAUCCUAGUAUGCGACAUCUUUUUGGAACAUGGAAAGGAGUCUUCCCCUCUGCUACACUUCAGAUAAUUGAGAAUGAACUUGGCUUCUCAGCUAUCGUCAAUGGUUCAUCUGGAGCUGCAUCAUCGAGGCCUGAUUCUCAGACACAGCGUCCACCAUACAGCAUUCAUGUGAAUCCAAAAUAUUUAGAAGCAAGACAGCGCCUUCAACAGUCAACUAGGGCAAAGGAAAUAAUCAAUGAUGACAUCAGUGGUGCAGUUAGUUCGAUUGAUGCAGAGAGGUCUGACAAAACAGCAAUUAUUGGAAGCACAAGGCAAUGGAAAAAUGUCCCAAACAGAAUGCCUAAUAUGCGGCCUCAAAGAGAACUGAUAAACAAUCCCAUUCAUGAGAGAAAAGAAUUCAGAGAUCAUGAGUUCUCUUCUGAUAUUGCACGGCAGUCGGAUCUUGGAGUUGGAAGGGUAAGUGAGAGGCUUAAAGAGCGAGAUGUACUUGAUAAACCAUAUCAUGGUGCUGGCAUAAAAGCUUCUGAAAUGCGCAUCAGCAGAAGCAAUGGUUUUGAUGUUAAUCGUGCAUAUGGAAUAUACCGGGCAUCUGGAUCUGCACGCGUAGAUAGUCAACUGCCUUCAGUUCACCUGAACAAUACAGAUAGAAGUAUCCAACUAACAUCUGAGAACUGGAAGAAUUCCGAGGAGGAAGAGUAUAUGUGGGAUGACAUGAAUUCCAGAGCAAUGGAUUCUGAAAGUACUGAUAGCCUAAUAAAAGGUGGGUGGAGUAGUAAUGAUGCAAAUAAACCUGCAAGUUUGCAGAAAGGCAAGGGGAUACCUUCAGCGUCUGAGCAUCUAGGCUCUUAUUUGAACAAAAUUGACUCUUUAUCUCAAUUGAGAAAGACCUCUGCACGGGAAGGCAGAGUUCCACUACUUAAGGAACCUGAAGUGCACCUUCCGCAGCCCCAUGCCAAGCAUGAUGCUGAGUCAAGAGUAGGUGUGGGAACUUCAGCAGAUUCACUGUACAUGGGGCGAGAUGUUUUGGAGCAUCCUACCUCCAUUUGGGCCCCACAUGAGGUUUCACCCUCAAUGAUUGGAUUGAAUCAUACAAGCUCAAGAAUUUCUAGUCAGUCUGAAGGACAACCUAUGUCUUUUAGUGGUGGUUUAUCUACAAGCAUGGGUUCAUCUUUAGUUUCAGGAUCAAGUGGAAUGCUUGGGCAGCAAAGACAGCAACUGCUGCAGCCUCCAUCACCAUCUGCACGUUCACCUCCAUCUUCUGCAGUCCUUCAACAUCAGAAAUCACACAGUUCAACUGAUCAUGAUCGUCUUCGAUCUAAUUCCUUCUUUCCCAUGGUUCAAAAACCUGCACAUGUUCCAGAGCAGUCAAGUCAAGUCCCACAGGCAUCAGUAACUCAGGAUUCUUGUACUAUUUCUGCUCAAAAUCAUACACAGAAUUCUCAUACUCCAUUGAACUCACAGUCACCCCCAUCACAUCCUUCUCAACACCUGCAAAACUCGUCUGCUUCUGCUUCAGCACGUUUUGGUCAGCGUAGGCAUCACCUUCCCUUCAUGCAGCAAUCAGAGCCUAGUCUAUCAGUGCAAGAGACAGAAACACAGUCUCAAACUUCCCAUCAGACCAAGAAAUCACCGUCUCUACCCCUGAGUUUUGGAUCUCAUCAGAUAGAACUUUCUGGAACGAACAACUCAAAUAAUCCUGCUGUUGAAAUUGGUGGCCAACCUAACACAACUAAUUUAUUGGCUGCUAUUAUGAACACUGGACUUGUACCGAACAAUACAAUGAGUAAUUCCAAGAACCUGAACAUACAGCCUCCCCUACCUAGUGGACCUCCUCCUAUUCUAGUUGCGACAUCAUCUGUUCCUUCUGUCACUCCCUCAAUAUCGCUACCAUUGUCCCAUGGCAAUAUAUCUGCUCUUGUGUCACCCUCUACGAGACCCAUUCUUCCUCCCCUACCACCUGGACCUCCACCUCGCUCAUCCUUGGUGCGUACUUCCAAAGAGACCUCGAACAUAGCUGGUACCACUACAAAUCCACUUUCAAGUCUUCUGAGCUCAUUAGUUGAAAAAGGUUUGAUAUCCUCACCAGCAGCAGAAUUACCAGCUGCAACUUCAGUUCAGCUGCCUAAUGAACUGGCAAAUCAGAGUAGUGGCUUUGCUAGCAGCACCUCAAAAUGUGAACUUUCAACCUUAGAUAGUUCAGCCAUUCCUUCAGUAGCAGCAAAAGAGCCUUCUGCCACUGAAUCAGAUGCUCCAGCAAGUGCUGCUAUGUUACAAUCCACUACAAGAUUGAACGACCUUUUAGGCAUUGAGUUCAAGCCAGAGAUCAUACGGAAAUUUCAUCCUGAGGUGAUCAGUAGCCUCUUUGAUGACCUAGAGCAUCGGUGCAACAUAUGUGGCCUAAGAUUCCAAAUUAAAGAGCAGUUCAGUGGUCACUUGGAUUGGCAUGGCUCAAUGAAGUCUGAAGUGAGCAGUUUGAACAGAGUUUCUCGGAAGUGGUAUGUGAAUUUGAGUAGUUGGCUCUCUGGAUGUGUGGCACCACAAUCUGGGCCAGUAGAGUCAACCAUUUCUCUGGAUGAGAUUGUCCCAACAUACGGGCAAUAUGAGCCAGCAGUUCCUGCAGAUGAAAGCCAAUGCCUAUGUGCUUUAUGCGGAGAACCAUUUGAAGAUGUUUAUUCUGCCGAAAGGGAUGAAUGGAUGUACAAAGGAACAGUGUAUUUGGAUGUACCAAAGAAGCAAAGUGAUAUGGAAAAAAUGGAUGAGUCUGCUGGACAGGUUCCUAUUGUGCAUGCCAGCUGUAUAUCAAGAAGCUCAGCUGAUAACAUGGAGGAUACAAAUGACUAGGUGGUAUAACCCUAUACAUCAUUUGGCAGUUUUUUGGUUUUUGUGUUAUCAGCUCUCAAUCAUCCCUUGUGCUGGACAUAUACGGAUAUUCCAAAAGAGAAAAAUUGUAUCAAUUUUUGUGCUGCAGUUCCAUGCAUUGCUCGGACGGAGUCUGCUCGACAUAUUACAUGUGCGAGCCAUCAGGGCUAUUUUGUUUGUGGACGAGAAUGAGAAACUGAUCUCCUUUUGUUCCUUCUGUAUGUUCACUCGUUGUCUUGUAGUCUCAAGCGAAAUGGAUAAGCAAUAGGUUAGCUUUGUUUUCUUCCCUUGUCAAAUGUUGCUUGUAUGUGGUUUCUAUCUGUUGUCAUAGUCUCCUCGAAAUAGGCUGGGCAUUUUACUUCAGCAUCAGGUUGAGCAAAAAGAAAGAGAACUGCAGUAAGGCUAUGAAUAAUCUAGCUUUUCAGUGGGAUUCACAAAGCUCUUUGGCUGCAUGUCUCUGAAUGGUACAACUCAACCUGUACUUCAGCACCGGCGACUUGCAAGCUUCCUGUAAUUUAGCUCAAGAUUGCCUUUUGUUAGGGGGACGAGAUGUAAACUUUUUUCUGCAUAAACCGUACUCGUAUUAUUAUCUUACAGGUACUGCAUAUGUACUGUCAUAUUAAUGCAAUUCAUUUGGAUCAAGUUUUUUUUGGCUC